UGGGGAAUAUUGGACAAUGGGGGCAACCCUGAUCCAGCAAUACCGCGUGUGUGAAGAAGGCCUAUGGGUUGUAAAGCACUUUCAGUAGGGAGGAGAAGUUCGUGGUUAAUACCCAUGAGCUGAGACGUUACCUACAGAAGAAGCACCGGCUAACUCUGUGCCAGCAGCCGCGGUAAUACAGAGGGUGCGAGCGUUAAUCGGAAUUACUGGGCGUAAAGCGCGUGUAGGUGGAUGAAUAAGUUGGAUGUGAAAGCCCCGGGCUCAACCUCGGAACUGCCUUCAAAACUGACAAGCUAGAGUAUGGUAGAGGGUGGUGGAAUUUCCUGUGUAGCGGUGAAAUGCGUAGAUAUAGGAAGGAACACCAGUGGCGAAGGCGACCACCUGGACUGAUACUGACACUGAGGUGCGAAAGCGUGGGGAGCAAACAGGAUUAGAUACCCCGGUAGUCCCUGAGCGGGCUGGCAAGGCGCAU
rnacentral:rRNA from 1 species